GUUCGUCCUCGUAAGACGUUUCAGGCGGAGAACUGCUGAAAUCCAUGCAAAGCCAAAAAAUUAUAAAACCGAUGAACGACAGGAUUGAUCCUCCUACAAGGCACGAAAUAGCAAAUGGUUGCAACACAUCCAUGUGUGGUAUGUUUGACUUUUCAAUCGUUAGAGACAAGGUCACCAUGAUGAUGUUUUCUACCAGGAGGAAAAUAUACCCUAUGGUUAUCUCAGCUUGGGGAUGUUUGGUUGGAAUGACGGUUUUCGAAACGUGAAACAGAGACGGAAAGGCAUAAUAAGUCAAAUUUUU